UACAGAGGUGGCAAGCGUUGUUCGGAAUUAUUGGGCGUAAAGGGCGCGUAGGCGGUGCGGUAAGUCACCUGUGAAAACUCUGGGCUCAACUCAGAGCCUGCAGGCGAAACUGCCGUGCUUGAGUGUGGGAGAGGUGCGUGGAAUUCCCGGUGUAGCGGUGAAAUGCGUAGAUAUCAGGAGGAACACCUGUGGCGAAAGCGGCGCACUGGACCACAACUGACGCUGAGGCGCGAAAGCUAGGGGAGCAAACAGG
rnacentral:rRNA from 1 species